rnacentral:misc_RNA from 1 species
AACGCAAAUUGCGCCUUUUUCGGAAGGCAUGUCUGUUUGAGGGCACCAUUUAACAAAUAAUGUGCGUGUUGCGUAUUGCGCGGCGUGCACACGUUGAUGAGCUUUCCAAAAAAAUUUUUUUUUGGUAGCGCAUAAUAAACAGCGUGAGGGCUUUUCUUAAUUCGAGUGUAGUAAAAACGACGCUUGGUUUGUGAGGAGCACAACGCAAUGGAUGUGGCGGUACCCAGCCCCAACGCCACUCUUUCUCAUGAAAGAAAGUUAAUCAUCAGGGCCUCAAAUCAGACAAGAGUACCCGCUGAACUUAA